rnacentral:tRNA from 1 species
GGAGUUGUAGCUCAAUGCAGAGCACUUGCCUAGCAUGUACGAAGCACUGGGUUCGAUCCCCAGCACCA